GGCUGGCUAGCUCAGCUGGUAAGAGUGUGGUGCUAACAAUGCCAAGGCUGUGGGUUCAAGCCCCACGCUGGCCC